rnacentral:rRNA from 1 species
GACGAACCGUGCGAACGUUGUUCGGAAUCACUGGGCUUAAAGGGCGCGUAGGCGGGCUGCCAAGUCUGGGGUGAAAUCCCACGGCUCAACCGUGGAACUGCCUCGGAUACUGGCGGCCUCGAGGGAGGUAGGGGCGUGCGGAACUGUGGGUGGAGCGGUGAAAUGCGUUGAUAUCCAUAGGAACUCCGGUGGCGAAGGCGGCGUGCUGGAUCUCUUCUGACGCUGAGGCGCGAAAGCCAGGGGAGCAAACGGG